rnacentral:rRNA from 1 species
GACGAACGCUGGCGGCGUGCCUAAUACAUGCAAGUAGAACGCUGAAGGAGGAGCUUGCUUCUCUGGAUGAGUUGCGAACGGGUGAGUAACGCGUAGGUAACCUGCCUGGUAGCGGGGGAUAACUAUUGGAAACGAUAGCUAAUACCGCAUAAGAGUAGAUGUUGCAUGACAUUUGCUUAAAAGGUGCAAUUGCAUCACUACCAGAUGGACCUGCGUUGUAUUAGCUAGUUGGUGGGGUAACGGCUCACCAAGGCGACGAUACAUAGCCGACCUGAGAGGGGGAUCGGCCACACUGGGACUGAGACACGGCACAGACUCCUACGGGAGGCAGCAGUAGGGAAUCUUCGGCAAUGGACGGAAGUCUGACCGAGCAACGCCGCGUGAGUGAAGAAGGUUUUCGGAUCGUAAAGCUCUGUUGUAAGAGAAGAACGAGUGUGAGAGUGGAAAGUUCACACUGUGACGGUAUCUUACCAGAAAGGGACGGCUAACUACGUG